UUUUCCUACGGGAGGCAGCAGUAAGGGAUAUUGGUCAAUGGGGGAAACCCUGAACCAGCAACGCCGCGUGAGGGAAGACGGUUUUCGGAUUGUAAACCUCUGUCCUCUGUGAAGAUGAUGACGGUAGCAGAGGAGGAAGCUCCGGCUAACUACGUGCCAGCAGCCGCGGUAAUACGUAGGGAGCGAGCGUUGUCCGGAUUUACUGGGUGUAAAGGGUGCGUAGGCGGCUAUGCAAGUCAGUAGUGAAAUCCAUGGGCUUAACCCAUGAACUGCUAUUGAAACUGCACAGCUUGAGUGAAGUAGAG
rnacentral:rRNA from 1 species